rnacentral:misc_RNA from 1 species
UUAAUUCUUGCUUUUAGUUCAGACAAACACUUUACUGCAUAGAUGCGGGGCCAGAGCCCCGAAGCACGGUUCGCUUCCACGGGUUUGAAGGUUGAAGGCCAAAGCCAUUCAGUAAUGAUCCCUCCGCAGGUUCACCUACGGAAA